GGGGACUUAGCUCAGCUGGAAGAGCACCUGCUUUGCAAGCAGGGGGUCAGGGGUUCGAGUCCCCUAGUCUCCAC
rnacentral:tRNA from 1 species